rnacentral:ncRNA from 1 species
GUUAAAACAUUGACAGGAAGCAGUAGCGAAUAUUCCUUCUUAAGAGAGCCGGUGGGUGGUGCGAACCGGUGCUGGAAGUUUGUGAAUCCGUCCUCGAGUGAAGCAUUGAAAUGCUUCCGGUCAUGGCCGUUAUCAUGCAGAGCUGGAAGACUUCUGUCUUCAAUUAGGGUGGCAUCGCGGGUUAACUCUCGUCCCUUUA